AGGGUGUGACUGACAGGUGCUGCAGCACAGGUGUUCCUCAUCUGAGUGUAAUAGGCUGGGCUUUAUAUACAGCUGGAACCUGGAAGGGGGCAUCAGCUUGUUGUCUUAACCAGCAUGAUCUGAUUCUGUGGAGACAAUUUUGGAUUCCUGGUUUCUGUUUCUUCGUGUCAUGUUCAGACGAGCACCUGAACCCAGGCCCUGUUGAUCCAGCCAUGGAUCUUCGUUCCAUUCUAACCUACAGCCCAGCUGCUCAAGAGCCUACUCAUGGGGACAUCUGACUCUCGCUCACCUGCCUGUCCACUCUCCAACACUGCCUACCUGAAAACAGCGGAGCUACCCAAGAAACACACAGCGAGAACUAAAGAAUCUCACCACUCCAUUCCUCACUCUCUGCCAACCUCAGCCACCGUGGAAAAGACUUUUUCUCCCCAACAAGUCUCUAGUAUCAUAAUCUUGGCAAUCCUGAUCCCUCAGGCAGAUCCAGUCCAGGCUGUGAUUAAUUUCAACCCGUGUUUUCUAAAUAAACUGUUAAAACUC